CCGGUUCCUUCGUUUCUUCUUCCACCGUCGAAUGCUUCGGUGAUCUCUGCUCUCGAUUCUUGAAGGGUUCGGUGGGCACCAUCGGCGGGUAGCACGACCGGGUCGGUCAUGGACGAGCUCGCCUGUUCCACCGGGUCCAUAAAGGUCACCUUCUCUUAUUUGUCUUCCCCCCCUCGUAACCUCUUCAGUUCUGUGCUGCAACCCUAAGGAGGAGGGGUUUACCCGAUGGCGGUGUGGUUGUCGAGGGUUGCACCUCUUUGGGAACUUUUGACAAACGAUCGUCAUGCGUUUAGAGUCGUAGGUCGAGGCUGAAGCUUUACAGAAUAUGGUGUUUGACGAGUCGUUUCCGACGGGUUUUCUCGUUUGCUCCCGAGGAUGAUAAGAACGUCGUAUUCACUGCCGCCAACAGGUUGCUACCGACGUUGGUCCGUCUUCUGGACUCCGCCGUCGGUGCCAUCUCCUACCACGAGACGAGGGAGAAGGCCGCAGCGGCGAUCAGGAGGAUCUCGCCCAUGCAGAGUUGUCGCCGCCUCCUGCUGGCGGAGGGCCCGCCCCUCCUCAACCACCCUUCCCGCGUCUGGAGUCUGAGGGAGGCGCCACAAAGGAAAAGGCCUUCGUGGCCCUCCAAACCCUAAUGCUAACAAAGGAAAACGGGUCAUCAUCGGAUCCCACGGUGGGAUCACAGCCUUUCGUGAGAUCUGUCGUGCAAGAAAGCCCUUCGCCUCGGCCACCGCCGCCGUAGUGAUCAAGAAAAUUGAGAAGCAACGAGGUGGGUGUGUGCACUCGGUCGUGAGGAUGAUACUGUGUUUCCUUGGUGGAAUGGUGCGAAAAUUGGCUCAAAUGCAGGUGCCAUUUUUAAAGUUUGAUUUGGUGGGAUUGCUAUGGCAUGAAGGUGACAUUAUGUUUCUUUCUUGGAGAUGAAUGUGCAAGCUUCUGAACUCUUGCAUCAGUAUUGUCUCUCGUCGUGGCCAAUAAAACUGUCAAAUGGUAACUAUCUUCAAUUAUAGUUACCUUACAAAUUAUUAUCCCAAGUACUAGUCAUUGCCACGAAGAAACACAAUGUUUAUUUUGGGAGGACAAGCAAUUCCGCUAGCGAUCACCAUACAACUGGUAUUGCUGGAUUACCUACAUAUUGCCCAGCAAAUCUUUUUGCUUUUGCCGAUAACUUUACUCUGUCUCUCUGGUUUUGUCUUACCAGGACUCGGUGUAGAGCACCAUCGUCGGAAGAAACGACCCAACUUGGGUUGUGUGUGUGGGGCACUCGAAUCUCUCUGGUCAUGGUCCUGACGCUGUUCAUCCACAUAUACGCGGCGUCUGAUGUGUUGCUUCUGCACGGAGGGAAGCGAAGCGGUCAGUCGUGUGAAGACAACAUGGCCUACUAAUUUCCAGCGGUCGAACGUAAGGCACGUGAGACCUGAUCUCCAUCUCUGAUUCCGAAAGUGCGAAGAGACGCUCCAUCAUCAAUCAAUUUAUGCUCCUUGUAGCAUAAGCAGAACUGACCCCACACAUGAGACCUGCCAUCAUCACCGCAAACGUUAUGGGCUCCAAAUACAUCAGUUGCGAGUGUCUCUCUCUCUCAAUCUUUCGACAGUUCAACCGGUAAGAGACGAAUCGAACUGUACCAAGAAAUGCUGCAACCUCCGUCGUCGGGGGACUCGCUGAAGAUGUCCUCGAUUUCCAUCUUCAGCUCCGCCACGGAAGCUGUCCUUGCGACUUCCACCUCUGCCAACAUCGCAGUCUUGAGGUUUGGCAACGACAGAUCCAGAAGAAUAUGCACUUUCUGGAAAGGUCAAAGAAAGUAGCGGAAGGUACCGUAGGAAGAGCCAUCCAAUUUGAGGACGGAGAGGCGGAGAAGCUGCUCGGGCAGGCGGCAAUAGGCGAUGCUUCUGCGCCCGCCAGCGGAGGCGCCGAUGCCGACGACGUCGUCGUCAUCGACGUGUGGGGAUGGCGAAGGAUGCGCAGGCGACCGCGGCAGCUUCCCCCACCCAGGGCACCUCGCCAUCGCUGUACCGGUGAAUGUAUCUCUCCUCUCUGGCGACGGGAGAGAAGAAGAAAAGAAGAAGAAGAAGAACCGAUCGGUGCCUAGGAUGGAAGGGCACGCGAUCCCUUGUCGUCUUCUUUGCCCCUUUGCCUUUUUGUUGCCGACUCCCGUGGUGUAACAGAAACAAGAUUCCUGCAGGGAAACGAGGCGGGGAAGCUAGCCUCCGUUGCGGUGCGCUUGAUCCACGCCGCAGAUCGGUGGUAGCACGGAUCAUUACGAUGACUCCCCUUGCGGUGGACGGUCCUCAUGGCUCCAGUUUCCGUCCGUCCGCCCGUCCUCUGUUUCCGUCAUCGGCAGGUGAUGAACUACGGAUGGGAUCAGCGGAUGCGGUUGGAUUCGAACCUGAACCUAAACAAUAACUGGUGAAGCCUGAAGGGGCCGUUCAAGCGGGCAGGUCUGACCCAACCCGGACCAGAAUUCUGCUUUCGCAAAACACUGCUUUGAGGGCGCCGCAUCUUUUCCUUUCCCUCCCUUAUAUCUCAUCAUUUCCGCGGUCGAAUUCCUUGGCAGCUGCUUGGCCGACGGUUGCGGGGACAGUUCGACGCCGUCGCCGAACCGGCGUAAAUGGCAUAUUUAAUGGGAUCUCAAUCUUCAUCGACGGAUUCAAUUUCUUUCCGCUCCGGUCAGGUGCUUUGUUUCUUUCUGGUUUUUGAUCCCCUAGUAGCAUUAGAUCGAUCGGACGGAUUUCAAUUUGCAGUCACAUACAAUUUGAAUUUAUAUUUCAAACUAGUUGCCUGUCUCUUUUCUUGACAUGUAUUUUCGUAUAUAGAAAAAAAUUUGCUUUGAGAGAUAAUGGAUAGGACUUAUUUCUACUA